rnacentral:misc_RNA from 1 species
ACACACAGACACGCACGCACACACACAUACACACGGAAAGGUGUUGCGUGCCCUUCCCCUAGUUGCUCUUCCGGCGAGGCGCAUACCAGGUCUCCCUCGUCUCUUCUGGAUCACAGACACAGACACCUGCUGCAGGGGGCGAAAGAGACAGACGCGCGCCAAUGGACGUGUAUCGGCAGGCUGCUGAGAUUGUCGGCAUCGUGCGCGAGGGCAAUGGCACGGCCAAGGCGCUGUGUCUGCGAAAGGAUAUGCAGAAGAAGAAACAGACCUACGCUGUCGUGUGCGAGACGCUGCGCCACUACGAGCUCCUCGAGGACGUGCUGGAGGUGGCGGAGUUCUUUAAGUACUACCCGCAGGCGAACCACGAGUUUGCUAUGUGCAUGGCCUACGACGUGGUGCUCGGAAAGGGGGUCAACACCCACAACGAUAGCACUGCGCGUGCCGUAACGCAGUCGGCUUCGUACCUGCGUGAGGCGUACUGGCAGGUGCGCAAGCACCACGUCAUUCCGCCGCGCAGCAACGAAAAGUUGGAAGAUGAGGAGGCGGCUAAAACGGAGGGCGGCGCGAGAGGGAAGAGACGCAGCGGCGACGGCGCGUCCUCGUCCCACUCGCUGCAGCUGCCGCGCUACGCUCGUGUCAACACUCUUAAAAUAUCGGUUGAGGAGCUGGUGAAUCGACUGCGCCGCUCCGCAGAGGCGCGCAAGCGCGCCCGUGACACCGAGGGCAAUAGCGGCGAUGCCGCUGCUAGCUCUCACCCGCAGCAGCAGAGCGGCGACAAGCGUGCUACACGUCGCGCGUCAUUGCGGCCGCACCGCCCGCUUCCCGAGUUCACGCAAGACCCUGUUGUGCCGCAUUUGCUGGUUUUCCCACCUGGCACGGAUCUGCACGCGCACCCGGCGGUGCGCAGCGGUCAGCUCAUUCUGCAAGAUCGCGCCUCCUGCCUUCCUGCGGCGGUGCUGCUCGACGCUGUCCCUGUUGAGGUGAUCGAAGGCGAUAAGGCCGGCAGCAGCAAAGGCGUGAAGAAGACGAAGGGUGGCACGGCGCUGUCGAAGGCGAAAGGGAGGGGCAACGAGACGGAUGCGGCGGCGCGCAAACCGCUGGAGUACGUUGUCGACGCCUGCGCCGCACCGGGCAACAAAACAACGCAGCUCGCUGCCCUCGGUGCACCACAUAUCAAGAUUAUGGCGACCGAGCGUGAUGAGCAACGUGCCGAGCUGCUGUCCAAGCGGGUGGCGUCGCUCGGCGCGGCGGACUACGUCAAUGUUGUGAGCAUGGACUUUUUCCAGCUCUCCUCCGACGACCGCGCGGCGACAGAGGGCAUCCUGCUCGACCCCAGCUGCAGCGCCAGCGGCGUCAUGACGCGCGUCGACGUGGCUCUUCAGCACUACCACCACGAGCAGCAGAUGCCGCAGCAGUGCAAGGGCAAAACGCAGCAGGCCGACAGAAGGCUCUCCUCUCUUCAGGGCGGCCGGCACGGCAGCCAUCACGGGGAUGCGGACCGUAACGCGGCGGAGGAGGAGGGGCAGCUGGACGACCGCGACCGCGAGGAGACCACCAACAGCGGCGCCAUCGACCCUGAGGCACAGGGCAACGAAUUCUCAAUGAAGGAGGAGCGGAUUGAGAAGCUGGCGCGUCUGCAGCGCAAGCUCCUGGCGCACUCCCUUCUCUCCUUCGACAAUUGCCGCACAGUCGUCUACUCCACCUGCUCCGUGCACGAGGAGGAAAACGAGGAGGUGGUGCGGCAGGUUCUGGAUGAUGAGCGGGUAAAGGCGCGUGGGUGGCGACUGAGCAACAUUAUGCCCAACACGUGGAAGACGCGUGGCAUGGAGAGGGAGGGCGAGGGGCACCCGCUGCACUUCACCAUCCGUUGCGACCCGGCGACGGACGCGACAAACGGCUUCUACGUUGCCCGCUUUGACCGCGUGUGCUGAGCGCCCCUCCCCCUCCGUCUCUCUCUCUCUGUGCGUGCGCGUGUGCGUGUGUGGCUUGGUGCUACGACAUACGCACACGAGGCGAUAAAGGACCACCCUUUACUCCCUCGUGUCUUGUCCCCCGUCCUCCUUGAACUGGAGAAGAACAAGCGAAAGACUAAUAAUAAGAGUCGGCACGUGCGCAUGCAUGUGUGCGCGUGCGCCUCUCUCUGCGUGAGGUCGCGGGAAGGCGAAGGCAGCGCCGGCCUUGUCGCAAGGUGCGAUGUGCAGCCCUUCCGGGGGAGGAUCACACCGACCUCACCACCGCGCUUCUGCAUGACACACACACACACACAUACAUGUGUGUAUCUGUUUCCGUGCAUUGAUUGGUGAUUCUCGUGUAAGUAAACCCCCUGCCAAAUUUGGCGCAGGGGUGGAGUAGGAU